UGGGUUAAGUGAACCAACACACUAACCAAAACCGGUUGGCCCGAAAAACCUAGGUGUGGAUGCAAGUGGGUCCGGCUGAACAAAGUCCGGCUCCAUGCCGCACGCGAACCGGCAUUUUCUAGUCAGGCGGUGAACCGUGAAUCGCUUCGCUGGCUUGUUUUUGGUUGGGGUUGAUUGAAUUGGACAUUCUUGACCAGGAAUAAAUUAGAUCUGAUUUACAUGACUUAGCUAGAAUUGGCUCAUCUAAAUCUAAGCCAGAUGACUGAUUUGCUGUUUAUAUGGGUUGGAUUUCAGGUAUGAAUCAAUG
rnacentral:lncRNA from 1 species